GCAUAUCAAUAAGCGGAGGAAAAGAAACCAACAGGGAUUGCCCUAGUAACGGCGAGUGAAGCGGCAACAGCUCAAAUUUGAAAUCUGGCCCUCGGGUCCGAGUUGUAAUUUGUAGAGGAUGUUUUUGGUGAGGUACCUUCCGAGUUCCCUGGAACGGGACGCCAUAGAGGGUGAGAGCCCCGUCUGGUUGGAUACCGAUCCUCUGUAAAACUCCUUCAACGAGUCGAGUAGUUUGGGAAUGCUGCUCUAAAUGGGAGGUAUAUGUCUUCUAAAGCUAAAUAUUGGCCAGAGACCGAUAGCGCACAAGUAGAGUGAUCGAAAGAUGAAAAGCACUUUGAAAAGAGAGUUAAAAAGUACGUGAAAUUGUUGAAAGGGAAGCGCUUAUGACCAGACUUGGACUUGGUUGAUCAUCCUGGGUUCUCCCUGGUGCACUCUUCCAGUUCAGGCCAGCAUCAGUUCGUCGCGGGGGAUAAAGGCUUCGGGAAUGUGGCUCCCUCGGGAGUGUUAUAGCCCGUUGUGUAAUACCCUGCUUUGGACUGAGGUUCGCGCAUCUGCAAGGAUGCUGGCGUAAUGGUCAUCAGCGACCCGUCUUGAAACACGGACCAAGGAGUCGUCUUCGUAUGCGAGUGUUCGGGUGUUAAACCCCUACGCGUAAUGAAAGUGAACGCAGGUGAGAGCUUCGGCGCAUCAUCGACCGAUCCUGAUGUUCUCGGAUGGAUUUGAGUAAGAGCAUACGGGGCCGGACCCGAAAGAAGGUGAACUAUGCUUGUAUAGGGUGAAGCCAGAGGAAACUCUGGUGGAGGCUCGCAGCGGUUCUGACGUGCAAAUCGAUCGUCAAAUAUGAGCAUGGGGGCGAAAGACUAAUCGAACCUUCUAGUAGCUGGUUUCCGCCGA
rnacentral:rRNA from 1 species